GUUGAAACACCGGUUCUCGUGCGAUCACCGAAGUUAAGUAACGUCUAGCCUGGUGAGUACCUAGAUGGGUGAGCGCUUGGGGAAUACCCAGGAGCUGUAA